rnacentral:rRNA from 1 species
UGAAACGGGCCGCCCCCGCCAGAGGACCCCUAACUCUGUUUCUAUAAUGUUUCUUCUGAGUAAAACAAGCAAAUAAAUUAAAACUUUCAACAACGGAUCUCUUGGCUCUGGCAUCGAUGAAGAACGCAGCGAAAUGCGAUAAGUAAUGUGAAUUGCAGAAUUCAGUGAAUCAUCGAAUCUUUGAACGCACAUUGCGCCCGCCAGUAUUCUGGCGGGCAUGCCUGUUCGAGCGUCAUUACAACCCUCAGGCCCCCGGGCCUGGCGUUGGGGAUCGGCGGAGCCCCCCGUGGGCACACGCCGUCCCCCAAAUGCAGUGGCGGUCCCGCCGCAGCUUCCAUCGCGUAGUAGCUAACACCUCGCGACUGGAGAGCGGCGCGGCCACGCCGUAAAACACCCAACUCUUCUGAAGUUGACCUCGAAUCAGGUAGGAAUACCCGCUGAACUUAAGCAUAUCAAUA